rnacentral:rRNA from 1 species
UACGUAGGGGGCAAGCGUUGUCCGGAAUCAUUGGGCGUAAAGCGCGCGUAGGCGGCCAGAUUAGUCCGGUGUGAAAGUCAGAGGCUCAACCUUUGAAUGCCGCUGGAAACUGUCUGGCUUGAGUCCGGAAGGGGCGAGUGGAAUUCCUGGUGUAGCGGUGAAAUGCGCAGAUAUCAGGAGGAACACCAAUGGCGAAGGCAGCUCGCCGGAACGGUACUGACGCUGAGGCGCGAAAGCGUGGGGAGCAAACAGG